GGAUGAAGAACGUAGCGAAAUGCGAUAAGUAAUGUGAAUUGCAGAAUUCAGUGAAUCAUCGAAUCUUUGAACGCACCUUGCGCCCUUUGGCCAUUCCGAAGGGCAUGCCUGUUUGAGUAUCAUGAACACCUCAACUCUCAUGGCUUGCCAUGAUGAGCUUGGACUUUGGGGGUCUUGCUGGCCUGUGGUCGGCUCCUCUCAAAUGAAUCAGCUUGCCAGUGUUUGGUGGCAUCACAAGUGUGAUAACUAUCUGCGCUCGUGGUUUCCAUCAGAUAACCUCCAGUGAUGGAGGUUCGCUGGAGCUCAUAAAUGUCUCUCCUAAGCGAGGACAGCUCUUUUAAUGUUUGAUCUCAAAUCAGGUAGGACUACCCGCUGAACUUAAGCAUAUCAAUAAGCGGAGGA
rnacentral:misc_RNA from 1 species